GUGCUCAGUUAGACAGCACACAUACUAAAAUUGGAAUGAUCCUGAGUAGACUAGCCUGGUCCCUUCACAAGGAUAACAUGCAAAUUUGUGAAGGAUUCCAUAUAUGU